rnacentral:rRNA from 1 species
UACGUAAGGUCCGAGCGUUGUCCGGAAUUACUGGGCGUAAAGCGCGCGCAGGCGGCCCGCGAGGUGUCACGUGAAAGCCCCGGGCUCAACCCGGGAGGGUCGUGGCAAACCGGCGGGCUUGAGGCCGGUAGAGGUGGGUGGAACUCCUGGUGGAGUGGUGAAAUGCGUAGAGAUCAGGAAGAACACCCGUGGCGAAGGCGGCCCACUGGGCCGGUACUGACGCUGAGGCGCGACAGCGUGGGGAGCAAACAGG